rnacentral:rRNA from 1 species
AGCUCAAAUUUGAAAUCUGGCUCUUUCAGAGUCCGAGUUGUAAUUUGCAGAGGGCGCUUUGGCGUUGGCAGCGGUCCAAGUUCUUUGGAACAGGACGUCACAGAGGGUGAGAAUCCCGUACGUGGUCGCUAGCCUUCGCCGUGUAAAGCCCCUUCGACGAGUCGAGUUGUUUGGGAAUGCAGCUCUAAAUGGGAGGUAAAUUUCUUCUAAAGCUAAAUACUGGCCAGAGACCGAUAGCGCACAAGUAGAGUGAUCGAAAGAUGAAAAGCACUUUGGAAAGAGAGUCAAAUAGCACGUGAAAUUGUUGAAAGGGAAGCGCUUGCAGCCAGACUUGCCUGUAGUUGCUUAUCCGGACUUUUGUCCGGUGCACUCUUCUGCGGGCAGGCCAGCAUCAGUUUGGGCGGUUGGAUAAAGGUCUCUGUCAUGUACCUCCUUUCGGGGAGGCCUUAUAGGGGAGACGACAUGCAACCAGCCUGGACUGAGGUCCGCGCAUCUGCUAGGAUGCUGGCGUAAUGGCUGUAAGCGGCCCGUCUUGAAACACGGACCAAGGAGUCUAACAUCUAUGCGAGUGUUUGGGUGUCAAGCCCAGACGCGUAAUGAAAGUGAACGGAGGUGGGAACCUUUUAGGUGCACCAUCGACCGAUCCUGAUGUCUUCGGAAGGAUUUGAGUAAGAGCAUGGCUGUUGGGACCCGAAAGAUGGUGAACUAUGCUUGAAUAGGGUGAAGCCAGAGGAAACUCUGGUGGAGGCUCGCAGCGGUUCUGACGUGCAAAUCGAUCGUCAAAUUUGGGCAUAGGGGCGAAAGACUAAUCGA